rnacentral:rRNA from 1 species
GACGAACGCUGGCGGCGUGCCUAACACAUGCAAGUCGAGCGGGGAUUUAAGUGGAAGUUCUUCGGAAUGGAGAUUUAAAUUCUAGCGGCGGACGGGUGAGUAACGCGUGAACAAUCUGUCCCGGACAGGGGGAUAACACUUGGAAACAGGUGCUAAUACCGCAUAAGACCACGGCCUCGCAUGGGGCUGAGGUAAAAGGAGCAAUCCGGUUCGGGGUGAGUUCGCGUCCGAUUAGCUAGUUGGUGAGGUAACGGCCCACCAAGGCGACGAUCGGUAGCCGGCCUGAGAGGGUGAACGGCCACAUUGGAACUGAGAGACGGUCCAAACGCCUACGGGAGGCAGCAGUGGGGAAUAUUGGGCAAUGGGCGAAAGCCUGACCCAGCAACGCCGCGUGAGGGAAGAAGGUUUUCGGAUUGUAAACCUCUGUCCUAUGGGACGAAGGAAGUGACGGUACCAUAGGGGGAAGCCCCGGCUAACUACGUG